GAUGAAUGCUGGCGGCGUGCUUAACACAUGCAAGUCGAACGGAAAGGCCACAGCUUGCUGUGGUACUCGAGUGGCGAACGGGUGAGUAACACGUGGGUGAUCUGCCCUGUACUUCGGGAUAAGCUUGGGAAACUGGGUCUAAUACCGGAUAGGAAUCACAUGUGGGUGUGUGGUUGGAAAGCUUUUGCGGUAUGGGAUGAGCUCGCGGCCUAUCAGCUUGUUGGUGGGGUAAUGGCCUACCAAGGCGUCGACGGGUAGCCGGCCUGAGAGGGUGUACGGCCACAUUGGGACUGAGAUACGGCCCAG
rnacentral:rRNA from 1 species